AUGAAGACCGGCACCGCCAAGCCCGUCGGCGAGCACCGGACAGCGGUGUUGCAGGUGACGGAAAUCGUGUCGUCGGACAUGGACGAGGUGGGCCUAUUUCCCAAACACGGCUGGUUCGACGUCAAGGUCUCCGACUCCUCCCACUACAUCUACACCACGCUGCUCCCGGCGCAGGCCGACCUCGUCCUGGCCAACAAGGUCAGCCUCGGCCAGUUCCUGCACAUCGACCGCCUCAACCCGGGCUCCCCCUUCCCCAUCCUCGUCGGCGUCAGGCCCAUCCCCGGUCACCACCCGCUCGUCCGCGGCACCCCCGAGCCCCCCAAGGAGCCCGCUGCGCUCAAGAGGGUCAUCAGGCCGAUCGCUCUAAGCUUCAAGGAGAGGACGCCCGUCAAGGAGUGGCCCUCGCAGGCGCACAGCUCGGCCUCCAUCAGGAAGAGCACCAGCUUCAUGCCCAGGUUCACCCACAAACGGACAUUCGUCGCCGACCGGGGCGACCCUCCUCGGCCGCCGUGCAAGAUCCCAAAACGAGCCCCUUCCGACAUGAGGCCCAGGGUGGAGGCGCCCUUCUCGCCGGUCUCGACGACUACGUCGGCAAUACCGCCACAUCCUCCAAGAGGGCCCCCUCGUUGGCCGCUCGGUGCCGGUGCCAGGGAAGCUCAGCUCCCUCGGCGAAGAGAAGCCAUGGAGCAGAGGGAGCAGGUGCAGAAGGUGGCGCUGUGCAGUGUGUCAGCGCUGAGGAAGAAGAUCGUUACUGAGGUGCAGCACCGUGACCUUGCAACAACAGCCCACGUGGAGGCGACCCGGCUUGCAUUCCCGAUCCACAACGGUUACGGGCAGACGCUGCUCCUACUGGAGGAUUCUCCAAUCGAUUCCAGGCUUGGCAGUAGCACCUUUAUGAAUGUAACUCUCAACUGCUUGAAUGUGUCGCUGGUGGCAGCCUCUUCUCGACUGCUCCUGCAAGGAUGUCCUGCUGAACCCCCAGACUCCUUGCUGGGCCCACCACCUUCAUGCCUUAUAAAAUCAAUCAUAGGACAUAUGAAGGCAAUUCAGGUGGUUCAUGUCCGGCACGACUUGAUGUCGUGCUCAAGUAGUUCUUCUGAUCUGAGUCUGCACGGGGUGGUUGCCACACCCCACCUAUCCCCCAAAACGUGCUUCUCUCGCACGCGCCACUGCCACUCGGCAUCUCACAAAUACAACAGCAGGAGGCCGGGGCUUCCUUGCCGCUGGUUCCCCGUCCUCCGCGACCAACAACACCACAAUAGCCAGGCCGUCGAGCUGCGCUACACCCGGUGCAUCAGCACAGCAGCCCGCUGUCCGUCGCGGCGUUCGGGUCGACCAGGGGCGGCGGCGCGGCCGACCAUGACCUGCGGCGACGGGGAAUUCAACCAAACUGGUGGUCCUGGACUCAGGGGAAAGGAGGGGAGGCGCUGGGGAGCUAGAGUCUUGAGAGAGGAAGGUGCACCCGUGGUGGUCAUCAGUGAGGGUGGCGGCGCGCUGGAGGGUGGAGGUCGAGAUGGGAUCGGGAGAGAAAACACCAAGCUCCUAGUCCUCCACAUGCGUAUCGGGCAGGCCGAGCCCGUGCAUUGCAAUGUGAGACAACAAUAA
rnacentral:rRNA from 1 species